rnacentral:rRNA from 1 species
CCUACGGGAGGCUGCAGUGGGGAAUAUUGGGCAAUGGAGGCAACUCUGACCCAGCAACGCCGCGUGAAUGAUGAAGGUCUUCGGAUUGUAAAGAUCUGUCAGUGGGGACGAAACUUGACGGUACCCACAGAGGAAGCACCGGCUAACUCCGUGCCAGCAGCCGCGGUAAUACGGAGGGUGCAAGCGUUGUCCGGAAUCAUUGGGCGUAAAGAGUUCGUAGGUGGCAUAUUAAGUCUGGUGUUAAAUGCAGAAGCUCAACUUCUGUUCGGCACUGGAUACUGGUAAGCUUGAAUGCGGUAGAGGUAAAGGGAAUUCCUGGUGUAGCGGUGAAAUGCGUAGAUAUCAGGAGGAACAUCGGUGGCGUAAGCGCUUUACUGGGCCGUAAUUGACACUGAGGAACGAAAGCCGGGGUAGCAAAUGGGAUUAGAUACCCCUGUAGUC